UCCCCCCUCAAACCCCGGGUUUGGUGUUGGAUCGAGUCAGCGAACGGCCCCUCACGGGGUCGGGAGCCAACUGGUCUCAAAGACAAUGACGGCGUCCGUGGGACCUCCGGUACAACGAGCUUGUCACGAGCACGUAUCGAGCGGUGUCGCGGACCCGGUCACCUUGUUCUUUUCCGUCUCCCCUUCCGGGGGCGGCGAAAAGUUCUCUUCUA
rnacentral:misc_RNA from 1 species